UUCCCUCAGAUCCUACAAAAUAAAAGUCCCAAACCUACAUGCUGACUGUCUGACCACUAAAAGAAACAGGAGAACAAGGAUUUGACAGAAAAUGGCAGCUCUCCCCUAUAAAGUUAACAGUUUCUGUCUCUUCCAAAUCAGCCCAUGAGCCCAGCCUGAUGUCACCACUGUUAGACUGCAGACUGGGGCUGCUAUACUGCUCCAACUCUUCUAUCUGAUCCUCAAUCAUCAAUACAACCACUGGCACCUGGUCAGGGGCGUGUCCAACCUGAGAGGUAACCAUCCAUGACAAUCCCCUUCACGUUGUAGCAGUGUUUCCAGCUAGAGCUAGGGCCUCCAUCCACAUCAGUUUAGAGAAACCGUCCAGGUUUACUUUGAACCAAGAGGAAACUUUUUUAUUUAAAAUGGAAACUAACUGGAGCCAGGUUAGUUUACCAGCUAUUUACUGGUUGUUGUUACAAAUUCAUAUCAGAGUUUAUUUGCAGGAAACGACCAAACUUCACAAUUUGACCCCAUAGUGACGUUUGAGAAGUUAGAAUUAGAGGAAGUGCAGUUCUCCAUCAGUCCACUGGGGGAGCUGCAGCACAAUAACUGAGAGACAGUGGAGCUGAUCUCAGAUC
rnacentral:lncRNA from 1 species